UACGUAGGGUGCAAGCGUUGUUCGGAUUUACUGGGCGUAAAGGGCGCGUAGGCGGCCACCGCAAGUCGACUGUGAAAUCUCCGGGCUUAACCCGGAAAGGUCAGCCGAUACUGCGGGGCUAGAGUGCAGAAGGGGCAACUGGAAUUCUCGGUGUAGCGGUGAAAUGCGUAGAUAUCGAGAGGAACACCUGCGGCGAAGGUGGGUUGCUGGGCUGACACUGACGCUGAUGCGCGAAAGCUAGGGGAGCGAACGGG
rnacentral:rRNA from 1 species